UCCUGGGAGAGAGAAUUUGAUCAACCAAGUUUGAAUAGUGUCUAUGUCUGCACUAAUCAGCAGUGGACAAGGGGAAAGGAGAGUGGGAUCUUGUGGUCCAGACGUGGCCAUUUUCCAUCCCAAAGCUUCUGCAUGAAAGGGAUGAAUUUCAGUGAAAACCUUCCAGAUCUAUAAUUCUGACAAGACCAUCUGGGAGUAGAAAUGUGGAUCCAAUUACAAAUAAGGGAAGCUUACUAUGAUGGCUAUUAAGAUCCGAGUUUUACAUUGCCUUUAAAGAAAUGUUUGCAGGAACACAGGAUAAAGGUAAAUGACAAUUUGGGAUUGGUGGAAGUUCUUUAAUAUCCUGAGGAUCACUAUAAACUUCAUGGAAACCCAGGAAGACUGUCUGACAAUCGUAUCAAUAACAGGAAAACAAUCCAUUUGCCGGUUGGCUGCCUGUAUGUUCCUAAUAAUAGACUGACCUAAUCACAAGUAUAUUCACUGAACAUGGGGAACUUAUCACCUACAGUGGGGCAUAAAAAGAUUACUUCUAAUUAAGAUAGCAAUGAGAAUAUUUCAUAGGAAUUUAUCUCCCGUAAAAUUCUUAUAUAGUAAUAUACAUCCACAUAAGCUCAAUAUAGUGAAAGACCACACUAUUCUAAAUGGAAAAUCAAGAUUUUUUUUUAAAUGAAAGCCUGUCAUAUUUAGACAUAUAUCAAA